rnacentral:misc_RNA from 1 species
AUCUCGACCGCAUGCUGGAACGCGGCGAUGUCGCCGAAGGCGGCGAGCACCGCGACGUGCUUGAAGCCUAUCGCAUGUUCGCCAACGACCAGGGCUGGCAGCACAAGCUGCAUGAGGCCGUGGCGACGGGUCUGACAGCGGAAGCCGCCGUUGAGCGCGUGCAGUCCGAUACCCGCGCACGCAUGCUGCGCUCGACCGAUCCCUAUCUGCGCGACCGCCUGCACGAUCUGGAAGACCUCGGCCAUCGCCUGAUGCGGCAACUGGUGGGACAGGAUCACGCGCCCUCGCG